rnacentral:rRNA from 1 species
CCUACGUGAGGCAGCAGUGAGGAAUAUUGGUCAAUGGACGCAAGUCUGAACCAGCCAUGCCGCGUGCAGGAAGACGGCUCUAUGAGUUGUAAACUGCUUUUGUACGAGGGUAAACGCAGAUACGCAUAUCUAUCUGAAAGUAUCGUACGACUAAGGAUCGGCUAACUCCGUGCCAGCAGCCGCGGUAAUACGGAGGAUUCAAGCGUUAUCCGGAUUUAUUGGGUUUAAAGGGUGCGUAGGCGGUCGGAUAAGUUAGAGGUGAAAUCCCGAGGCUCAACUUCGGAAUUGCCUCUGAUACUGUUCGGCUAGAGAGUAGUUGCGGUAGGCGGAAUGUAUGGUGUAGCGGUGAAAUGCUUAGAGAUCAUACAGAACACCGAUUGCGAAGGCAGCUUACCAAGCUACUACUGACGUUGAGGCACGAAAGCGUGGGGAGCAAACAGGAUUAGAUACCCGAGUAGUC